AUAGGAUCAUGUAAAAACAAGUGUUAAAAUAAAAACUGAAAACUUUUAAUCUGAGCCGUUCAUCAAAUUGUAUAGCUGAGAUUUCUUUCCUCUUAUUUUUCAGACAUUACUGAAUUUCUUUCCUCUUGUUUCAGACAUUAGUGAAUUUCUCUCUCCUCCUUAAUUUUCACGUUAUUUUCUCUCUCCUCUUUAUUCUCUCCUCUUUCGUACUUUAUCUCUCUUCAACCAGCUUCCCUGUUACUCUCUCUACUGUGUUAAGAGCAAAUUUUGGCGAAAAAACUCUAGAUAUCACAAUUCAGGUAUGAUUAUAUUCGACAAUUUGUUUGUUUUUUCACGAAUUUUCAGCGAUUUUUGUGAUUUGAUAUUUGCGUUUUUUCUAUUCGAUUUUCAUGAAUUUUGCAUGAGUUCGAUUUUUCUGAUUUGAUUUUAAGAGUUUCGCAUGGAGUUUGAUUUUUUUGAGUUCGAUUUUUGCAAUUUGCUUAUUUUUGCGGAUCUAUAGUUCGAUUUUAGAUUUCGAAUUUCAGAGAUUUAGUGUUCGAAUUUAGGGUUUGAUUUUAGCUAAUUUUUUCAGAUUUUGAUUUCAAAUUAAUGGCGGUUUGGGAUGCGAAUAGCUAAAAUGCGAUUUAUGUGUGUGUGUUUGUGUAUGUAUAGCCCUAUGUGAUCUCUAUUCAUGCUGCGUGCUGGUUUGUUUGGGUUUGACAGGGGUUAGAUGUGUUGUUGUGCUACUUUGUGCUGCUUGUUGUAUUUGCCUAGGAGCUGACUUGCUUCUGUUUGCUGCUCCUGAGUUCGAUUUUUUUGAUUUGAUUUUAAGAAUUUUGCAUGGAGUUUGAUUUUUUUUUUUUAGUUCGAUUAUUGCAAAUGUAGGGUUCGAUUUUUGCUUAUUUUUGCGGAUAUAUAGUUCAAUUUUAGAUUUCGAAUUUCAGAGAUUUAGUGUUCGAAUUUAGGGUCUGAUUUUAGCUAAUUUUUGCGGAUUUUGAUUUCAAAUUAAUGGUUGUUUGGGGUGCGAAUAGCUAAAAUGCGAUUUGUGUGUGUGUGUGUCUGUGUAUGUAUAGCCCUAUGUGAUCUCUGUUUUCUUCUGCAUGCUGGUUUGUUUGGGUUUGACACGGGUUUGUUGUGUUAUAUUGUGCUACUUUGUGCUGCUUGCUGUGUUUGCCUAGGAGCUGACUUGCUUCUGUUUGCUGCUCUCUGCUGCAAGGCUGUUUGUGUUGUUCUGUGAAGCUUUGUUUCUUCUGCCUCCUGCUGGCUACUUGUUUUUCAGCUUGCUAUUGUUGUGGGUUGCUGUUAUGCUUGGCUGUUCUCUGGUCCUGCAUUGAUGUUCCUUGAUGUUGUUGUGUUCCUCUCUUACAACCUGUCUUUGCUUAUUUGUGUUGCUUUGUUUGUUGUUGUGGUGUUUUGUUGUCUUGUUGUUUGCCUUUGUUUGUUUUGGCUUUGGUUGUUUCCUAGCUUGUACGUUGCUAGCUUAGUUGUACCAGAUGGUGAUUAUGUUUCAUGUGUCCGGUUUUGGAGGGGUGUUGGACUAUGUUUUUUUUUGAAGUUUUGUUUAAAAAAAAGGUCACUAUGCUAUAAAAAGAGGCAACUACUUUGGUUUCUUUUGUUUAUCUUUUCGUAUGUCUUGUUACAGGGUGCAACAAGGAUUUUCAUUCGAUUUGGAUUAGAUUAUAUUCCUAUGGUGAGAACUAGAGGUGGUGUGACUUUUAAAAAAAGAAGAGGCCUUCGUAGCUUAACAGGAGGAGUUAAAUUGAAAGAUACAGGAGCAUGUAUCCAUCUCGAUGAUGAAGAUGAAGAGCAUAUUGAUGGUUGAAGCAAAAUGAUUGAUGAUGAUACUAACAGAGAUAAAGAUGCUUGUAUUGAAAAAGGAUUGAAAAAGAAAGCUAUCACUAAGAAAAAGAAACCUUCUACUAUUGAUAAUGCUAUACCUUUGUCAACUGUGAUGGAAGGAAAGAAGGGGAAUGAGUCUUCUUCUUCACAUGCUAUUGUUUUGUCAGCUAAGAAGAGAAAGUUGGAUAAAAAUGAAGGUCUUAAAGUGAAGAAAGUGAAGGCAAAUAAGGAUAAGAACAUUGUGAUUCAUAGGCAAGAAUCUGCAAUCAUAGAUGGUGAUGUACAUAAUUACCCGAAGUUAAUAUAUAGUUGCCUAUUUUCGAUAUAAUGACCUUAGAAUUAUGGAAAUGUUGUAAAUUUUGUUUCAGUCACCUUAUUUUUAUAUAUAGUGACCUUUAUUUUUGUAUAUAGUGACAUUUAUGUAAAUGGUGUCAAAAACUCAGUCGAUAUAGUUACUUUAUUUUUGUAUAUAGUGACCUUAAUGUAAAUGUUGUAAAAAUUGUUAUAGUUACCCUAUUUUUGUAUAUAGUGACCUCUAUGUAAAUUUGGUCAAAAUUGAAAUAGUUACCCUAUUUUUGUAUAUAGUGACCUUAAUGUAAAUAUUGUAAAAAUUGAUAUAGCUACCCUAUUUUUGUAUAUAGUUACGUUAUUUUUAUAUAUAGUGACUCUAUGUAAAUAUCGUCAAUUUAGAUAAAGUUACCUUAUUUUAGCAUGUAGUGACUUUUAAAAUGUUGCCUUUGUAAAAAAAAAAAAAAAAAAAAAAAAAAAAAAAAAAAAAAAAA